CGAAGUCAUCAGCAAAACAACUGUCAGGGAGAGCACGUCCCAGUCUCCCCCUAUUUAGUACAUCAGAUAUGAGUGACCAGAGAAGAGAAAAUAGAAGAAAAAUUGGAAGUCAGAGUGCUCAUGACACAACCUCCGCCAUUCCCUGCCACCUGGUGAAAUGUGUUCCCCUCCCGCCCAAAGUUGACC